UAAUACAGAGGGUGCGAGCGUUGUCCGGAAUCACUGGGCGUAAAGGGCGCGUAGGCGGCCUGGUAAGUCGGGGGUGAAACGCUGCGGCUCAACCGCAGCACUGCCUUCGAGACUGUCAGGCUUGAGCACGGUAGAGGCUGGUGGAAUUCCCGGUGUAGCGGUGGAAUGCGUAGAGAUCGGGAAGAACAUCGGUGGCGAAGGCGGCCAGCUGGGCCGUUGCUGACGCUGAGGCGCGACAGCGUGGGGAGCAAACAGGAUUAGAUACCCUGGUAGUCCACGCCGUAAACGAUGGGUACUAGGCGUCGGGGGGAGCGACCCCCUCGGUGCCGUCGUUAACACAGUAAGUACCCCGCCUGGGGAGUACGGUCGCAAGACUG
rnacentral:rRNA from 1 species